rnacentral:rRNA from 1 species
AUAGAACUAUUGCUGCGGUUAAAAAGCUCGUAGUUGGAUUCGUGCUCGGGUAUCGGUCCUCGUCUCUUUGGCUUGGCACUGGUGUCCUGGGCUUGUGGUUGGUUCUCUUGUCGGCUCUCCUUGUGGGGGUUGGCAGGUGACUGACGAGUUUACUUUGAACAAAUCAGAGUGCUCAAGACAGGCGUUCAGCCUGAAUGUUCGUGCAUGGAAUAAUAGAAGAGGAUCUCGGUCCGAUUUUGUUGGUUUUGCGGUCGAGAUAAUGAUCAAUAGAGACAGACGGGGGCAUUCGUACUUCUGCGCGAGAGGUGAAAUUUUUGGACCGC